GGUGCGGUGACCGAGCGGCCGAAGGUGACGGUCUUGAAAACCGUUGUAGGCAACCCCUACCGUGGGUUCGAAUCCCACCCGCACCGCCA
rnacentral:tRNA from 2 species